GUUGGGCGGGCGGGGGGGGUUCUCUCAGGGGCUCUCGCUCGGCGCGGCCAUGGAGGCGGACGGGAGCCAGGCUACCUCGGGGAGCCCCGGAGAGGCGCAGCACGACCCCGGCAAGAUGUUCAUCGGCGGCCUCAGCUGGCAAACCUCACCAGACAGCCUUAGAGACUAUUUUAGCAAAUUCGGAGAAAUUAGGGAGUGUAUGGUCAUGCGGGACCCCACCACCAAGCGCUCCAGGUAAAACCGCCGCC